AUCUUUUUAGUAUUAAACAGUACAAGUGACUUCCAAUCACUUAGUCUUGGUUAAACCCCAAGAAAAGAUA
rnacentral:tRNA from 1 species